UAAAAGGUAAGCUAAGUCAAGCUAAUGGGUUCAUACCCCGUAAAUAGGAUUAUUCCUCCUUUUAA
rnacentral:tRNA from 1 species